UACGAAGGGGGCUAGCGUUGUUCGGAAUUACUGGGCGUAAAGCGCGUGUAGGCGGGUCUUUAAGUCAGGGGUGAAAUGCCAAGGCUCAACCUUGGAACUGCCUUUGAUACUGGAGACCUUGAGUCCGGGAAAGGUGAGUGGAAUUGCGAGUGUAGAGGUGAAAUUCGUAGAUAUUCGCAAGAACACCAGUGGCGAAGGCGGCUCACUGGCCCGGAACUGACGCUGAGGUGCGAAAGCGUGGGGAGCAAACAGG
rnacentral:rRNA from 1 species